CCUACGGGUGGCAGCAGUGAGGAAUAUUGGUCAAUGGACGAGAGUCUGAACCAGCCAAGUAGCGUGAAGGAUGACUGCCCUAUGGGUUGUAAACUUCUUUUAUAUGGGAAUAAAAUGUUCCACGUGUGGGAUUUUGUAUGUACCAUAUGAAUAAGUAUCGGCGAACUCCGUGCCAGCAGCCGCGGUAAUACGGAGAAUCCGAGCGUUAUCCGUAUUUAUUGGGUUUAAAGGGAGAGUAGGUGGAUUGUUAAGUCAGUUGUGAAAGUUUGCGGCUCAACCGUAAAAUUGCAGUUGAAACUGGCAGUCUUGAUUACAGUAGAGGUGGGCGGAAUUCGUGGUGUAGCGGUGAAAUGCUUAGAUAUCACGAAGAACUCCGAUUGCGAAGGUAGUUCACUGGACUGCAACGGACACUGAGGCUCGAAAGUGUGGGUAUCAAACAGGAUUAGAUACCCCGGUAGUC
rnacentral:rRNA from 1 species